UAAUAAGUGUUUUAUGGCACUUUUUAAAUCCAUAUCCACCUUGUGUGCAAUGUCAGUCGGUUUUCUUUUUCGUCAAGAAAAAAAGGAUCGACCAAACAUCAACUUAUACUAAUUGAACUUUUGUCUGAAAACUAUUAUGAAUAAACUAAUUCAAAAUA
rnacentral:misc_RNA from 1 species